rnacentral:misc_RNA from 1 species
CCAAUAGCGUAUAUUAAAGUUGUUGCAGUUAAAAAGCUCGUAGUUGAAUUUCGGAAUUUUUUUAUCGGUUGAAUCAACAGGUUCGUACUGAUUUUAAGAAUUUCUACCUUCUGGAGAACCUUAAUGUCAUUUAUUUGGUGUUUUGGGGAACCAGGACUGUUACCUUGAAAAAAUUAGAGUGUUUAAAGCAGGCUUAUGUCUGAAUAUAUUAGCAUGGAAUAAUGAAAUAGGACGGCAUGGUUCUAUUUUGUUGGUUUCUAGGAUCACCGUAAUGAUUAAUAGGGAUAGUUGGGGGCAUUAGUAUUCAAUUGUCAGAGGUGAAAUUCUUGGAUUUAUUGAAGACUAACUUCUGCGAAAGCAUUUGCCAAGGAUGUUUUCAUUAAUCAAGAACGAAAGUUAGGGGAUCGAAGACGAUCAGAUACCGUCGUAGUCUUAACCAUAAACUAUGCCGACUAGGAAUCGGACGAAGUUAAUUUUUUAAUGACUCGUUCGGCGCCUUACG